rnacentral:rRNA from 1 species
CCUACGGGAGGCAGCAGUGAGGAAUAUUGGUCAAUGGGCGAGAGCCUGAACCAGCCAAGUCGCGUGAGGGAUGACGGUCCUAUGGAUUGUAAACCUCUUUUGUCGGGGAACAAAGUCGUCCACGUGUGGACUUAUGAGUGUACCCGAAGAAAAAGCAUCGGCUAACUCCGUGCCAGCAGCCGCGGUAAUACGGAGGAUGCGAGCGUUAUCCGGAUUUAUUGGGUUUAAAGGGUGCGUAGGCGGACAGUCAAGUCAGCGGUAAAAAUUCGGUGCUCAACGUCAUACAGCCGUUGAAACUGGCAGUCUUGAGUGCGCGAGAAGUAUGCGGAAUGCGUGGUGUAGCGGUGAAAUGCAUAGAUAUCACGAAGAACUCCGAUUGCGAAGGCAGCAUACCGGCGCCCUACUGACGCUGAGGCACGAAAGCGUGGGUAUCGAACAGGAUUAGAUACCCCAGUAGUC